GAUUUAUUCUACUCAAGCAUUCAGUGGAUGCCUUGGCAGUAAAAGCCUAAGAAGGACGUUUCAAGUCUGCGAAAGUUGUCGGGGAGGUGACAAGAACUUAUGAUCCGGCAGUGUCCGAAUGGGGAAACCUAGCCAGAUUUAUCUGGCUGUUACGCGACGUAAGUCGUGUUUCGGGAACUUGGGGAACUGAAAUAUCUAAGUACCCAAAGGAAAAGAAAUCGAAUGAGAGCCCCUUAGUAAGCGACGAGCGAACAGGGGUGAGUCUAAACCAUCAAUUUAUUGGUGGGGUUGCAGGGCCAAACAUAACUUAGUUUUUCUGAUAGAAGAACAGCAUGGAACAGCUGACCAUAGUGGGUGAGAGUCCCGUAUUCGAAAUCGGGAAAACUAAAGUUUGGUACCUAAGUAAAUCUGGAGACGGCAAACUCUAGAUCGAAUCCGGGCCGACCACGGUCCAAGACUAAUUACUUUUACUGACCGAUAGUGAACUAGUACCGCGAGGGAAAGGUGAAAAGAAGGGUGAGUAGCCCUAUUAAAAGAUCCUGAAACUGAAUGCUAACAAACAGUCGGAGGUCGCCUUAGGCGACUGACGGCGUGCCUAUUGAAGAAUGAGCCGGCGAGUUACUCUAUACAGCAAGGUUAACCGAUAAGUUUCGGGAAGCCGAAGGGAAACCAAGUCUUAACAGGGCGUGUAGUUGUGUUGUGUAGACCCGAAACCAGGUGAGCUAACCAUGAGCAGGUUGAAGGUCAACGAAAGUUGACUGGAGGACCGCACCGGUUGAUGUCGCAAAAUCAUCGGAUGACUUGUGGUUAGAGGUAAUAUGCCUAACGAACCUGGAGAUAGCUGGUUCUCCUCGAAACAUGUUUUGGCAUGGCCUCGUAUUUACGGUAUGGGGGGUAGAGUGCUGAAUGAACUUUAGGAGUAAAAUCCUGAUUUUCAACCAAACUCCGAAUACCCAUAUCAAUUGUACGGGAGUCAGUACCCGGGGGCUAAGCUCCGGGGGCGAAAGGGAAACAUCCCAGACCCACAAAUAAGGUCUCUAAAUAUACAUUAAGUGGUAAAAGACGUGUCAUUUCUCAGACACCUAGGAGGUCGGCUCAGAAGCAGCCAUCCUUGAAAGAAAGCGUAACAGCUCACUAGCCGAGAGAUACACGACUGAAGAUGUAACGAGGCUAAAUGUAUUACCGAAUUUUGGGAUUGUCCCGCCGCAAGGCGAGAUGAUGGUAGAGGAGCGUUCUUGUAGCUUUGAAGGCGAACCGGAAGGUUCUCUGGAGUAGCAAGAAGUGAGAAUGCCGGCAUGAGUAGCGUAAUAAAGUGAGAAUCUUUAUAUCCGAAUGAGCAAGGUUUCCUACGCAACGUUCGUCGACGUAGGGUAAGGCGACCCUUAGGUGAGGCCUAUAUGGCGUAGCCGAUGGAUUACUGGUUGAUAUUCCAGUCCUUGUUUGCAAUCGUUAUUAACUGGGGCGGGACGAAGUUGGAUAGUCCAAGCGGUGUGUUGAAGAUACAUACGCUUAAAUAGCAAGUCAGUCACUGUUGGCAAAUCCGCAGUGGCGUUUACACGAGUUAUGAAUACGAGUCUGCCGUAAGGCGGGCAAGAUGGAUGACUUCAGUUUCCG
rnacentral:rRNA from 1 species